UAUUGUGCUUAGAGGGUGGGCUUAGGGUCUGAAAUUUAGAUGGAGGGAAGGUUGAUCCUUAAGCAGGGAAGAAGAAGAAAGAGCUUCAACACCUAGAGCAGUAGGAAAGAGAUGAAUAUUGUCGGGGAUGUCUGACCACCCAUGGCUAAGGAGGCCUUUGCUUCCUCUUGGACAGAUCCUGGGGGAGAAGUUAUGAAAGUGAAAUAUCAUUUCUUAUAGGGGAUUUAUGAGUGACACGAAAGGAAAGGUCCAUUACCUGGAACAUUAAGUGAGUGUGUUCUCUGUGUGUACAUUAUUCUGUAUAUAUGUUUGGGGUGGGGGGAAGGUAUAUGCAUGUGUGUGAGGGUUGAAAGCCAGCUACUGAUCUCACUCUAGAGCAACCACAACCAGGUGCACUUCUUUGAGGAUGGUAUUUGCCCCAAGUCCUAGCCCUGGCUUCAGUCUCCCAUUCCUGGUCUAUUUGUCUAAUUAAGUGUAGCUCUAGAAGGUUCUAGAUAAGGAUCACUUCUAACCUGUAAGGUAGAAAGUAUAGCCCUUUAAUCAGUACUCAUUAAAACAGCAAUAAGAAGAGUAGAGGGGGAAAAAAAUCUUCCCUUUCAAAUAGAUUGAGUGAAAGUGUGCUUUGGACUGAUGGUGAACGAGCACAGCAUUUUAGGCUUCCAGCAGGAAGAAGGUAUUCUGGGGAAGCUGAUAUUAUGAUGCUAGUAAGCAGGUGGAAACCCUGGUGGCAUAAUGGUUAAGUGCUAUGGCUGCUAACCAAAGGGUGGGCAGUUCGAAUCCACCAGGCGCUCCUUGGAAACUCUAUGGGACAGUUCUACUCUGUCCUAUAGGGUCGCGAUGAGUCGGAAUUGACUCGACGGCACUGUGUUUGGUUUUGAUUUUGUUUUAGGCAGGCAGCCAGAUUGGGGGAGAAAAGGAGGAAAAAGUCAAUCAAUUAUACCAGGCAAGGAAUGCUUUCUCUGUAUUUAAAGUAGUAUUGGGCAGAGGGGUUUAUAGGAUGCAGGCAUGGAUCUAUGUCUGUUUCUUUCUAUUUUAAUAUGUAAAUAGUAUUUGAUUUGAAACUGAUUAUUUUUCAGGAAAGUCAGCUUUAAUUUCCUACUCCAGUUGUUUGGGGGAGUGAUUUAUUAUGAUUUAGAUGACGAAAAAUAUUUUUUAGAAACUUAGCAUACAUUCCUGGCGAGCAGUCUUUUCACUUAUUCUGACUGUGGAUAAACUAGUCUGAUGACGAUCAUAUGCACAGAUAUGCAUAGACAGAAAGGAUUGGUGGUAACACACCCAGAAGAAGAACUAGUUCCUUUUUUUGCAAGCCAGCUGGUAACUUCUCAGAGCCUUUGUAUGAAUCAUGGGAUAGCUGUAGAACAAGAGAUAGCUAUGUUAAUGAAAAAUAUCUUCAUAGACCUAAAUACCAAAACCAAAUUAGAGGUUGGCCAGACAGAGAAGCCGGCAAAUGUUUAAGCAAUUUAGUGGUACAGCUAACACCUGUUUUAUAAUAAGGAAGAAAGUUUUAGUAUACUUAGUGUUAAUGAGUAACAGAUAUAGGCGGGAAGUUCUGUGAGAAGUUCAGUUAGAAAAAGAAAUACUCCAAAUGUUGGUGAAGAUUUUGUCAUCAAGUUCCAUGGGCCUUUCACUCCAUCUUAUUCUCCAGCUCCUCAUGCUUUUCACCUGGGUGCAAGGAUUAGAUUCUGUUUACAGAUUAAAGCACAGACAUAAUGUGACAGCUGUAUUGGGAAAAAACGUGACUAUGUUCUGCAAUUUGACCACUUCAGAAAAUGUUCUGCAAAUUACUUGGCAGAAGAUCCAAGGCUCUUUAGCACAAAAUAUUGCCACUUACAGCAGUAGACUCGGGACAAAUAUUCUUCCACCGUACCUAGAUCGGCUGCACAUUGAGCCCAAUUCCUCGUUCAUCACUAUCCAUGAAGUGACAUUGGAAGACGAAGCCUGCUACAGUUGUUUAUUUAAUGUGUUUCCACUUGGCAGCCGUGAAAGACAAAUCUGCCUUAAUAUUCUAACUGUGUCAGAAUUAAGAGCUGUACUCCAGUCCAAUCCCGACUCUGAAGGUUUCCUUACAGUUAUUUACUCAGCUAUGGGAAAGCCUGCUCCUCAGAUAUCUCUUUCCCCCUCGCAAGUCUUGAUGCAUCCAUCCAAGGAAUACCGUGCUCAGAACCCAAAUGGCACAAUAACAGUCACUAAAAUGGACAACAUCUCUCUGGAGGCUGUGUGGUCCCUCGGACAACAAAAUGUGAUUGUGCGCAUGGAUCAUCCCCUAAGGCAGGAAGAGAAGAUUAUCCCUCUUUCACUUAAACAAGAAUGUCAAAGGAGACACUUCAUCCCACACCAGAGCUGAGACGGCUGCACUUGGAGACAGUGGGCGAUGGCUUGCCUCCCACACACACGUGAUGAGCAGAGCCCUGGUGGCGCAGUGGUUGAGAGCUACACCGAGCUAUGGAUGCUAACCAAAGUGCCAAGAGCUCUGGAACUUGCUACAAUAAGAAGAAUCACCAUGGCUGCCUAGCUGAAGGAGAAGGGUCACAUCAUGCCAGGAGGGAACCUUACAGAGCUGAUUGCCUGAACACAUCACUUCAGUUUGGAUGCAAAUAAUAAGUGGAAAUUUGUUUUUUUUAAAGUGUCCAUUGCUUAAAUUAAACGCAUGGGAUAAAAAAACUCCUUUCCAUUUUUCAAAAAUUGUUUCCUAUGUGU